ACUUUACCAUGCGGGCAACCGUGAUAAGGAAACCCCGAGUGCCAGCACAGGCUGGCUGUCCGCCAGUGUAAAUAACUGGUGAAGAAAGGGCCGGGCAAGACCGGUGCCAGCCGCCGCGGUAAUACCGGCGGCUCGAGUGGUGGCCACUAUUACUGGGCUUAAAGGGUCCGUAGCUUGAUAUGCAAGUCUCUUGAGAAAUCCGCCAGCUUAACUGGUGGGCGUUCAGGGGAAACUGCAUUUCUAGGGACCGGGAGAGGUGAGAGGUACUGCCGGGGUAGGAGUGAAAUCCUGUAAUCCCGGUGGGACCACCUAUGGCGAAGGCAUCUCACCAGAACGGGUCCGACAGUGAGGGACGAAAGCUGGGGGAGCAAACCGG
rnacentral:rRNA from 1 species